rnacentral:rRNA from 1 species
CCCGCAACGAGCGCAACCCUUGUCAUUAGUUGCCAUCAUUCAGUUGGGCACUCUAAUGAGACUGCCGGUGACAAACCGGAGGAAGGUGGGGAUGACGUCAAGUCCUCAUGGCCCUUAUGAGCAGGGCUUCACACGUCAUACAAUGGUCGGUACAGAGGGUUGCCAAGCCGCGAGGUGGAGCUAAUCUCAGAAAACCGAUCGUAGUCCGGAUCGCACUCUGCAACUCGAGUGCGUGAAGUCGGAAUCGCUAGUAAUC